UUGAACGCUGGCGGCAGGCCUAACACAUGCAAGUCGAACGGUAACAGGAAGAAGCUUGCUUCUUUGCUGACGAGUGGCGGACGGGUGAGUAAUGUCUGGGAAACUGCCUGAUGGAGGGGGAUAACUACUGGAAACGGUAGCUAAUACCGCAUAACGUCGCAAGACCAAAGAGGGGGACCUUCGGGCCUCUUGCCAUCGGAUGUGCCCAGAUGGGAUUAGCUAGUAGGUGGGGUAACGGCUCACCUAGGCGACGAUCCCUAGCUGGUCUGAGAGGAUGACCAGCCACACUGGAACUGAGACACGGUCCAGACUCCUACGGGAGGCAGCAGUGGGGAAUAUUGCACAAUGGGCGCAAGCCUGAUGCAGCCAUGCCGCGUGUAUGAAGAAGGCCUUCGGGUUGUAAAGUACUUUCAGCGGGGAGGAAGGGAGUAAAGUUAAUACCUUUGCUCAUUGACGUUACCCGCAGAAGAAGCACCGGCUAACUCCGUGCCAGCAGCCGCGGUAAUACGGAGGGUGCAAGCGUUAAUCGGAAUUACUGGGCGUAAAGCGCACGCAGGCGGUUUGUUAAGUCAGAUGUGAAAUCCCCGGGCUCAACCUGGGAACUGCAUCUGAUACUGGCAAGCUUGAGUCUCGUAGAGGGGGGUAGAAUUCCAGGUGUAGCGGUGAAAUGCGUAGAGAUCUGGAGGAAUACCGGUGGCGAAGGCGGCCCCCUGGACGAAGACUGACGCUCAGGUGCGAAAGCGUGGGGAGCAAACAGGAUUCGAUACCCUGGUAGUCCACGCCGUAAACGAUGUCGACUUGGAGGUUGUGCCCUUGAGGCGUGGCUUCCGGAGCUAACGCGUUAAGUCGACCGCCUGGGGAGUACGGCCGCAAGGUUAAAACUCAAAUGAAUUGACGGGGGCCCGCACAAGCGGUGGAGCAUGUGGUUUAAUUCGAUGCAACGCGAAGAACCUUACCUGGUCUUGACAUCCACGGAAGUUUUCAGAGAUGAGAAUGUGCCUUCGGGAACCGUGAGACAGGUGCUGCAUGGCUGUCGUCAGCUCGUGUUGUGAAAUGUUGGGUUAAGUCCCGCAACGAGCGCAACCCUUAUCCUUUGUUGCCAGCGGUCCGGCCGGGAACUCAAAGGAGACUGCCAGUGAUAAACUGGAGGAAGGUGGGGAUGACGUCAAGUCAUCAUGGCCCUUACGACCAGGGCUACACACGUGCUACAAUGGCGCAUACAAAGAGAAGCGACCUCGCGAGAGCAAGCGGACCUCAUAAAGUGCGUCGUAGUCCGGAUUGGAGUCUGCAACUCGACUCCAUGAAGUCGGAAUCGCUAGUAAUCGUGGAUCAGAAUGCCACGGUGAAUACGUUCCCGGGCCUUGUACACACCGCCCGUCACACCAUGGGAGUGGGUUGCAAAAGAAGUAGGUAGCUUAACCUUCGGGAGGGCGCUUACCACUUUGUGAUUCAUGACUGGGGUG
rnacentral:rRNA from 1 species